rnacentral:rRNA from 1 species
UGCAAGUCGAACGAUGAAGCCAGCUUGCUGGUGGAUUAGUGGCGAACGGGUGAGUANCNCGUGAGUAACCUGCCCUUGACUCUGGGAUAAGCGUUGGAAACGACGUCUAAUACCGGAUAUGACCUUCAGCCGCAUGGUUUGUUGGUGGAAAGAUUUUUUGGUCAAGGAUGGACUCGCGGCCUAUCAGGUUGUUGGUGAGGUAAUGGCUCACCAAGCCUACGACGGGUAGCCGGCCUGAGAGGGUGACCGGCCACACUGGGACUGAGACACGGCCCAGACUCCUACGGGAGGCAGCAGUGGGGAAUAUUGCACAAUGGGCGAAAGCCUGAUGCAGCAACGCCGCGUGAGGGAUGACGGCCUUCGGGUUGUAAACCUCUUUUAGUAAGGAAGAAGAACUUCGGUUUGACGGUACUUGCAGAAAAAGCACCGGCUAACUACGUGCCAGCAGCCGCGGUAAUACGUAGGGUGCAAGCGUUGUCCGGAAUUAUUGGGCGUAAAGAGCUCGUAGGCGGUUUGUCGCGUCUGCUGUGAAAUCUGGAGGCUCAACCUCCAGCCUGCAGUGGGUACGGGCAGACUAGAGUGCGGUAGGGGAGAUUGGAAUUCCUGGUGUAGCGGUGGAAUGCGCAGAUAUCAGGAGGAACACCGAUGGCGAAGGCAGAUCUCUGGGCCGUAACUGACGCUGAGGAGCGAAAGCAUGGGGAGCGAACAGGA